CUGGCCCCUCAUCUGAGUCCUCGCUCUCCUCAGCCACAGCCUGCACCUGCUGCCGGCUAACUACAACAAAUGCCAUGAGUUCCAGCUGAAUCUCCAGCAUGGGUUUCUUCAGUGUGCUUGCUAUCGGCCGCCAUAGUAAUAGCACUCAUGGAAUAUGGCGCUGCUGAAGGGAGGUGUUUUCGCUCUGUCAAGGCCAACCGCCCUGAGACUCUAGCUGGGAGAAACACCUGAAGAUGGGCUUUCUCGUAAUAUCAUACUGGAUGUCGAUUGGACUCUCAGUGUUGGACCUUUGCGUGGGGGUGGAGGGGGUAGGGAUUUGGGCUGACUUUCAGUCUAACUUUUGUGUGUUUUGAAUCAGAUCUUGCCUUGCUUUUGCUGCUAUCACUUCACACUUAGUAAAAGUACCUCUUCUCUAAAUCAAUGGAGUUGGGGCGGGGUUUCUUUUGAACGGAGACGGGCCUGACAGAUUAGAGACCGUUCUGGUGGCAUAUUCUACUCUCCGUGGAGAGAUUCAUGAAACUGAGAGGUUGCAUGGUGAAGAGAGACAGAGACAGAGAGAGAGAGAGAGACAGAGAGAGAGAGACAGAGAGAGAGAGACAGACAAACAGACCAGGGCAAGGCAGGGACUCACUCUGUGUUUUUUAUCUCCAAUGCAGGGAAGAAGCCACCCAUUUAGCAGCCUCUUUGCAGUUGUAGCAGACAAGAUAGUCAGGAACAUCGUGAGGUAAAUCAAACGGCACAUGGAAUACAGACAAGAAAAAAGGCGGGAAAAAAGGGAAACUCCCCCUUUAUACCCACAGCAACCAAUCAUAACGUGGAUUGCCUCAUGCAGAAGCCAGCCCAACCAAUCAGCUCUUCCCCCAUUGGACACUUUCCUGUUCCAGCUCCUGAAUUUGAUAUCCUAACAAGACUGACAAUCAUCCAACUGAUGAUGUCCCCAGUGCAAGGGGGAGGGAGGGGGCAGAGGAGGGUCCUGCAGUCAUGAAUGGAGGGGGGGGGCUUCUCUCCCCUCCUCGAGUCCAUCUGGGAAUCCCUCCCUCUAGAGAUCCCUGGAAACUCAGUGGGUUGGGGGGGUGUAUGUCAAAAUGGACUAGAGUUAGAUUUGUGGAUUGGAAGGGAAGCGUCAAUACUUGUUAUAAUUUGGGGAGCAGGUUCUUACCCACCUCAACAGCAACUCCUUGGUCUGCCCAUCCGCUCUUGUAAAUCCCACCCAGCGGAUUUCUCUCUGGAGGCUGCUGUUUCCGCUUCUUUACUUGGCUGGUUCAACCCGGGCUUUCCUCGCCUUACCUUCCUCUCAAAUUAAUCGUCCCGGUGUUUUCCACUUUCGUUGCAGCGCAACUUUGGGGUGCCACAUUCUCAGCAUAAAGAUACAGGAAUGAAUCCUUCUUCUGAAUUAGGCCAGGCUCUUCAGGCCUUUCCUGCAUGCUGGAACCAGGAUAGAUUUUGGGUCUUUCAUCACUGCUUUUAUCGCUGAAUCAGUAAACUUUUUCUAUCAUGAUUGAGGAGCAGAGGAGAAAAGAAUAUAUUAUGUGUUAAGAUUUCAAAUAGGGUUUUGUAGAUAAUAGUUUAUAAUAGGUAGGUUGCAUAACACCCUUCAUGGCUUUUGCUGGUUAAUCUUAGUGGAUAGAGAUUGGAGGCUAAAGAUGUUUUAGAGACGGGUUUAGAGAGAAUGGAGUGAUGAAUAGGAUGAAGAAGUUUCUUGGUUUUACUUUAAGAGAAAUUUAUAAGUUGUUAAUUUUCAUUACACUUGUUGGGGAUGAAGAUUCACUUCUUUUUUUCCUUGUGUUGGUUUUACCUGUUUAAUAAUGUAAUCUUUGAUGAAACAACUUCUGCGAAAACAAAAAGUAUGCAUUCUGAUAUUUUUGUCAUUAAAAUCGUUGAUGCACUUUUAAUUGAUUGUGCCAGGUAUUUGACCAUAUAUUUGAUAACUAAUAAAUAAAUAUACCAAGUAUAACACUCAACACUGAUUAUUUGUAGAUUGCCAUUUAUGGAUUUUCAUGAUUUUUUUUUUAAAAAAGGAACGUGAGAUCGAUUGUACAGCCAGGUUGAUACCUCCUUAACAAUUGUAUAAGCUUGCCAGAAUUGUUUGCUGA